rnacentral:rRNA from 1 species
AAGGCGAAAAGAACCCCGGCGAGGGGAGUGAAAAAGAACCUGAAACCGUGUACGUACAAGCAGUGGGAGCACCUUCGUGGUGUGACUGCGUACCUUUUGUAUAAUGGGUCAGCGACUUAUAUUCUGUAGCAAGGUUAACCGUAUAGGGGAGCCGAAGGGAAACCGAGUCUUAACUGGGCGUUAAGUUGCAGGGUAUAGACCCGAAACCCGGUGAUCUAGCCAUGGGCAGGUU